rnacentral:rRNA from 1 species
GACGAACCGAGCGAACGUUGUUCGGAAUCACUGGGCUUAAAGGGCGCGUAGGCGGGCUGCCAAGUCCGUGGUGAAAUCCCCCGGCUCAACCGGGGAAGGGCCUCGGAUACUGGCGGCCUCGAGGGGGGUAGGGGCGUGCGGAACUGUGGGUGGAGCGGUGAAAUGCGUUGAUAUCCACAGGAACCCCGGUGGCGAAGGCGGCACGCUGGACCCCAUCUGACGCUGAGGCGCGAAAGCCAGGGGAGCGAACGGG